UACAGAGGGGCAAGCGUUGUUCGGAAUUACUGGGCGUAAAGGGCGCGUAGGUGGCCUUCUAAGUUGAACGUGAAAUCCCUGGGCUCAACCCAGGAACUGCGUCCAAGACUGGGAGGCUUGAAUCCGGGAGAGGGAUGCGGAAUUCCAGGUGUAGCGGUGAAAUGCGUAGAUAUCUGGAGGAACACCGGUGGCGAAGGCGGCAUCCUGGACCGGUAUUGACACUGAGGCGCGAAAGCCAGGGGAGCAAACGGG
rnacentral:rRNA from 1 species